GAACGCUGGCGGCAUGCCUAACACAUGCAAGUCGAACGGAAACGAUUAAGAGCUUGCUCUUAAGGCGUCGAGUGGCGGACGGGUGAGUAAUGCUUAGGAAUCUGCCCAGUAGUGGGGGACAACUCGGGGAAACUCGAGCUAAUACCGCAUACGCACUACGGUGGAAAGCGGGGGAUCUUCGGACCUCGCGCUAUUGGAUGAGCCUAAGUCAGAUUAGCUUGUUGGUGGGGUAAAGGCCUACCAAGGCAACGAUCUGUAGCUGGUCUGAGAGGACGAUCAGCCACACUGGGACUGAGACACGGCCCAGACUCCUACGGGAGGCAGCAGUGGGGAAUAUUGCACAAUGGGCGCAAGCCUGAUGCAGCAAUGCCGCGUGUGUGAAGAAGGCCUGCGGGUUGUAAAGCACUUUCAGUAGGGAGGAAACAGUUGCGGGUUAAUAUCCCGCGACCUUGACGUUACCUACAGAAGAAGCACCGGCUAACUCUGUG
rnacentral:rRNA from 1 species